AAAGAAAUUCACCUACGCAACGGGCAGUAUUUGAAUAUCUUAAAGGGAGAGUGUUAGAUGUAUAUCCUAAAUAUAAGAAAGAAGCUAAGGAUCAUCUAUCAAAAGUUGUUAAGUUGAAUCCAUUAGAAGAAACACUCCUUCCCCUUUUCAACGAAAUAACUGAGUCAUAUCAGAUCCUAAUAUCUUCGGAAGGUCUUCAGAACAAGAAAGAAUGACCAUAUAGUUCUGGCGGGAAGGUGAUAUACUUUAUAAGCUUCAUCAUCCAAAUGUGGUGGAAUUUUAUGGGGUAGUUCAAGAUGGACUAAGAGGAACAAUGGCAACUGUCACGAAGUUCACAAUGGAUCUGAAAAUGCCUUAGACAAACAAGGUUACCAAGUUCCCUUGACAAUUUUGGUUGAUAAAGAAAGGAACAAAGCUGUGUAUGCUGAGUCAGGUAAUGAUUUUGUUGAUGCUCUUUUAAGCUUUUUAACAUUACCUUUAGGGACAGUCAUAGCUUCAGGUCCUGCGAAUAGUUCAGGAACAACAAAUACGGCGGGUCCUUCACCAAGGUCAGCACCCUUGACUCAUACUCCUAGAGAUGCUAUUUCAAUGCCUGCUUUGCCUCAUAAUGGCAAUUCUUCAAAGCCUCUAAUGAUGUUUGGCACUGAUGGCACCGAGAUUCUUACGUCACCUUCAAACCAUAAAAAUUUAACAUUGAUGCUGAAUAAAUUUGUUUCUUUUUUGUCAGUGCAUUGAGGUAUAUACAGUUGACAAUGAAGAACAAGGAGUCGGAUGAAAAAUUGUGUUUUCUGAAUCUUGCUUUUUGAUUUUAUGGUUUACUUUAUGCCUUUUGAUGUAUAGGGUUCGGUUUAUUCUUUUUAAUUCUAUAGGUUUGGAUGAAGAAUGGCUGAAGGUGUUAACUUUCCAUAGGAAUGGGUGCGCGUAUCAACCGAAGGUGUUAACUUUCCCGUUGGUGCAUUUGCAUCCCUUUUCUAUUCUGUUGUUACUACUGACAUAUAUGGUUUCAAAUGUUAUACCCUAUCAAAUGAAAAGGGAAUAUUGAAUGCAUUAGGUUUGCGUACACUUACAUCAAUCCG